GUGGGGAAUCUUCCGCAAUGGACGAAAGUCUGACGGAGCGACGCCGCGUGAGUGAAGAAGGCCUUCGGGUCGUAAAGCUCUGUCAUCAGGGACGAACGGCCGGUGGAGUGGAAAGCCACCGGAUUGACGGUACCUAAGAAGGAAGCCACGGCUAACUACGUGCCAGCAGCCGCGGUAAUACGUAGGUGGCAAGCGUUGUCCGGAAUUAUUGGGCGUAAAGCGCGCGCAGGUGGGAUCUUAAGUCCAUUUUUAAAGUUCGGAGCUCAACUCCGUGAUGGGAUGGAAACUGGGAUUCUUGAGUACCGGAGAGGAAAGCGGAAUUCCCCGUGUAGCGGUGAAAUGCGUAGAUAUGGGGAGGAACACCAGUGGCGAAGGCGGCUUCCUGGCACAAUACUGACGCUCAUGUGCGAAAGCUAGGGCAGCGAACGGGAUUAGAUACCCGUGUAGUCC
rnacentral:rRNA from 1 species